UGGGGAAUAUUGGACAAUGGGCGAAAGCCUGAUCCAGCAAUGCCGCGUGAGUGAUGAAGGCCUUAGGGUUGUAAAGCUCUUUUACCAGGGAUGAUAAUGACAGUACCUGGAGAAUAAGCUCCGGCUAACUCCGUGCCAGCAGCCGCGGUAAUACGGAGGGAGCUAGCGUUGUUCGGAAUUACUGGGCGUAAAGCGUACGUAGGCGGUGACUCAAGUCAGAGGUGAAAGCCUGGAGCUCAACUCCAGAACUGCCUUUGAAACUAGGUCGCUAGAAUCACGGAGAGGUGAGUGGAAUUCCGAGUGUAGAGGUGAAAUUCGUAGAUAUUCGGAAGAACACCAGUGGCGAAGGCGGCUCACUGGACGUGUAUUGACGCUGAGGUACGAAAGCGUGGGGAGCAAACAGGAUUAGAUACCCCCGUAGUCCCUGAGCGGGCUGGCAAGGCGCAU
rnacentral:rRNA from 1 species